rnacentral:rRNA from 1 species
AUUGAACGCUGGCGGAAUGCUUUACACAUGCAAGUCGAACGGCAGCACGGGAGCUUGCUCCUGGUGGCGAGUGGCGAACGGGUGAGUAAUGCGUCGGAACGUACCGAGUAAUGGGGGAUAACGCAGCGAAAGCUGUGCUAAUACCGCAUACGCCCUGAGGGGGAAAGUGGGGGAUCGCAAGACCUCAUGUUAUUCGAGCGGCCGACGUCUGAUUAGCUAGUUGGUGGGGUAAUGGCCUACCAAGGCGACGGUCAGUAGCGGGUCUGAGAGGAUGAUCCGCCACACUGGAACUGAGACACGGUCCAGACUCCUACGGGAGGCAGCAGUGGGGAAUUUUGGACAAUGGGGGCAACCCUGAUCCAGCCAUUCCGCGUGACUGAAGAAGGCCUUCGGGUUGUAAAGCUCUUUCAGCUGGAACGAAACGGUACGCUCUAACAUAGCGUGCUAAUGACGGUACCGGCAGAAGAAGCACCGGCUGACUACGUGCCAGCAGCCGCGGUAAUACGUAGGGUGCGAGCGUUAAUCGGAAUUACUGGGCGUAAAGCGUGCGCAGGCGGAUUGUUAAGCAAGAUGUGAAAUCCCCGGGCUUAACCUGGGAAUGGCAUUUUGAACUGGCAGUCUAGAGUGCGUCAGAGGGGGGUGGAAUUCCACGUGUAGCAGUGAAAUGCGUAGAGAUGUGGAGGAACACCAAUGGCGAAGGCAGCCCCCUGGGAUGACACUGACGCUCAUGUACGAAAGCGUGGGUAGCAAACAGGAUUAGAUACCCUGGUAGUCCACGCCCUAAACGAUGUCAACUGGUUGUUGGG